UGGUGCUCAGCAGACGCUUGGAGACUUGAGACUUAAGAACGAAGAUCCAAUUCAAUUCCACAAUAUUCAGUGGGUGCUAAUCAUUUUCAAGAUUGACCCUGUGGGAAAAGCAAAGCCUUGAAAAACCAAUCUUGGUCUACCAACUGGAGUGCACCAUACAUGUAAUCACCAUCUAGCAGGUUUCAAAGAGAAGAAAAAGAAACUUUUGAAUUUAAAUUGUGGACUUCUUUCAGUCAAGAUAGAAUAAUAGGAAUCAGAUUUAUUCUCCCAUCUAAAACAACUAAAAAUAACACACAAAAUUUAUCAAACAAUGAUUUUCAUACCAUGGACAGCAGACAGGGCAGAAAAGUGAUCCCUGAGAGAGGAGAAACC